UUCACUUCCGGCUGCCUUAAAUAUCGAGGAUUUGCCUGUUAACGUUCGGGAUAAUAUAAAGACACACCUAUCUACCUGCAUCGAUGAAAUGCUCAAGAUAAACAACUCAAAACCAUCAUCAGUUUCCAGUUUGGUCAAUUCGGUUUUGUACCAUUCAUAUAAGACACAUACACAGACGUUUGAUACAGAAGCACUUAUCGGAACUUUCUGCGGAUAAAUCGAAGAUCAAAACAUUAGAGAUAAUUUGGCACAUUUAUCAAUCGACGGAUUGUUGGUGUCUAGAUCCUGAUAAGCCAUUCGAUGUUGUUUAUAAUGAAAAAUCUGAUCGAUUAGAACCGUUCAUUGACAUAUCAAUACAUUGAGACGGAGGAUGGACCUAUUCUACUUUUAGGACUUGUAAAAAGUGAAUUAUCAUCUAUUUUAACCUGGAUAGAAAAUGAUUAUCCCAUUAUUUUAUGAGGCCACGAGGACUCUAGUAGAAGUACUCUAAUAGUUGCUGCAUUAUCAUCUAUAAAAAAUAAGAAUAAUGCACUGUUGACCUUGAUACAAGGAUUAUCUCUUUAUAAUGCACAAGAUCUUAUUAAGCGAGCUUGUGUUCGUUUUGAUUCCUUUUUUCAUGGAAGAACUAAUAAGUCUAGAAAUGAAAUUGGUGAAAAAAUUACUUCAGGACAAAGGAUUUCACGAGGAUGAUUUGGAAUUCGCACGAUUAAUUUGUACUGAGGAUUCUAUUGUUCUUUAUCCGAGAUUAGAAUGUCUCAUGGCUACGUAUUAUCUACCGUUAGUUAUUUUGAUGCUUAAAAAACUAAGUAAAUUAUAAUUAGAUUGUAUUUACAUGAGGAAUGGAAAAGUAAUAUCAUAAAUGAGCUGCCAAAUGUGCUCGAGAAGGCGAACCAAUACAGAUAAGAAUUACCUCCCAUCUUUUACAAAUGAUUGCUACUAAUAAAUAUUUGUUUAGAUUCCGACUUAAAUUCAAUUUAGGAUUAUUACCAUGAGAUCAUUAUUAAUUGUAUCAUACGUAACAUCCAUUCUCUAUCAUUUUUUAUUACAAUGAAUAUUAAAUAGAUAUAAUCUUAUUUCCUCAAUAAGAGAUGAAAGUAAAAUAUAUAUAGUGAGUGACAAAAAUAUUCGGACAUUAUGGUAUAUUUGAAUAAA